CUCGGGCCACCACCCUUCAAGGGCAGGGAAAAGAUUGCCAAUUUAUUGAUUAAGUCUCAUAAAAGUACUAACUACAAAUUUGGAACUCUGAUUAACAAUUAAAUUAAUAACUAUAAUCAAAUUUACCGUCUAUAUAGUUAGCUUAGUUGAAGGAUAUGGAGUUCUUGACAGUGUAGAGGUUGUCAAAAUUCACUUCACUCAAAAAAACAUUUAUUAUGAGUAUAAAAACACAAAUUACUAACAAUGUACUAAACAAAGAUGCGUAUGUGAGUGUGUGUGUCUGUGAGUCAGACACACACUCCCCUUUGGAAUGUUUACAUGUAGCGGGGGUCCGAGCUAAUUAGGUGAAGAUUAUGCGUGUGUCUGUGUGGAUGCUAAGUCAGAGAAAGGGUCAUAGAGAUAUAUAAGAAAGACUGUAAAGAGCCUAAUUAACAUUAACUUUCAAAUAACUUAUAACCACAAUAUCAAAACACAAAUCAAACUUAUAAACACCACACAGAAUCAAUUAAACAGUCUUGCUUAGCCUUGUAUAAUUAUUAGGCCCAGUAGUGAUAGCUGUCUGUGGAAAGGGGAAAAAGGAAGUUGCUGUGCAGUUUGCAGUUCUGUGAAGUCGAUUUAGAUUUAGAGUUAAAGCCAAAAUUGUGUAAGCCUUUGAUGGUGGCCAUGUUUAAAUCAUCCACCACCAUUCACCUUCCAAACACAUCUGCUACCAUGUAGUGCAGGAGUAAUAAAGAAUAAUUAUUGUAAAAAGAUAAUAUUUUGUGUAUGAGCAAACCUCAGUGUUUAAUAUAUUAACCCUUGCAGACAAGCAGUGGCACCAGCAUGCACACACUCACUCGGUAUGACCAAGGAAAUAAAAGGCAAUCCACACUCAAGCUACUUUAAUAGUUCUGUGUUCAGAGGAAACAUUUUGACUACCUGUUCUUUUCUGUGCGAUUCUUUCUUGUAGCCUUGGGAUGAUGAGAUUUGCAUGUGGCAACCGUUGACAUGCACUAGAUAUGCUGACUAGAGACCCAGCAGAUCUGUGUGAGCUUAACAUAUUGAAACUGGUAAAUUAUUGCAGUGUUUUAAUCUGCUGGAAUAACCAUGUCUUAAGCAUUGAAUUGUGUUUCAUAAUUGCAAUAUUAUUUCUCACUUUUGAAACUUUUCUGUUGUAGGAGCUGUUGAGGAAAAUAGUUUCAGCAUAUUCACACUUUGAAAAUAAAACAUUUCUUUCGAUUCUUUUUUCACACUGAGUUUCAUACUGAGGUCACAUGAACUGGCCUCAGCAAUGGUACCACAAGUAUGGUACAGAAAUGUAUGAUAUGGACAAAAGCACUUACAUCUUCUAUACUAGUGGCCAACAGUUUCCUCAAAGUCGACCAGCUGAUUUAUCUGCUCACUCUGCAUUGAGUGGCGUCUCCACAUCAUUUUCUUGCCUUUUAGAUUCCUUGGAAAACCAGGUGCACAUGGAAGAAUAGGCUUUGACCCUGUAUUUACACCAUUCAGCGUCUUACUACUUCCACUCAAAGGGUGGGAAGUGCUAGAGCUCACCCCGAUAUCAGGUAUGGGAGCAUGGGGAUUCAGGGGAGGAAGGUAUCCAGGGCGAGUGUGGGCAAUAUGAUCCAGAAGAUAAGUCCCUGAGCCUCUACGCUCAAGCCUGGCUGUGUCUCGUCUCUGGGCGGAGCUCUCCAAGGACUCCCUGGAUCCUGAGAGAGUGGAGGACCUGCUGUUUACUAGCUUGUGCCUUCCUGAUCCCACUCCAGCUCCACCACUGUUCUUGGUGCUAUUUUCUCUGCUGCCAAAUUGUGGUAACUGAGAGUCUGAACUGUAGUGGUUCAUGCCAAUGUUCCGCCGACGGACCACAUUUUUUAGACUUGAAAUAUUCAGUUGUCUAAGACAGAGUGAGGAAUCUUCAUCCACAGGACUGGAUUCAUGAAGAAAGGGGACACUGUCCUGAUGCAGGUUUGGGUGUGAAGUAAAAUACAGUGAACUUGAAGCACUGUCAUAUGACAUCUUUCUACCAAAGCCUCUUCUUCCACCUCCUCCCCUAUUGUCAUGUCCUGGCAUGUUCUCUUGUGCUUUCAGUAGCCCUAUUGUGUCUUUGACAUCGAUACUGUGGUGGCGUGAUACAGCAAGUGGUCUUCCAUGGAUAGCAAAGCUUGUGAAUCUGAGAGACCAGUCCUCCUCAGCUGUAACUUCCACUGGCUCCUCCGUCAGGGAGCAGGUCUGGCUCUGCUGUAGCAGCAGGGAAGGACUUUUGGUCCGAGGCUCCGAGUGUAGUCUGUGGAGAUUAAGUCGCUUAUCCACUGUAGGAACACAUAAAGGACUAGGACGUUGUAUUGGAGAACCUGGUUGAGAUAUGACUAUGCCGGGCCCUGAGCAUAAACAGUGGGAAUCCCUGUGGCCAAGAAAAGGGGAAGCACCCACUGAGGAACCCUGUGGAGAAGUUUGCAGCUGGACCUCGUGUGCAGACAUGCAACAAGGUGGAGUGUAAUGAAGACGCUCCUCGAGGUCAGGAGAUGGAGGAACAUUGAGGCAUCCAGGAGGACCCUGAGGACUUCCCUGUUUCCUGAAUUGACUGCAUAAACCAAUGCUGAUAAUCCUGUGUGAUCCUCCAGGGUUGGAUCAGCUCCACUGCUCAGAAGAAGUGAAAGGAUUUCAGCUCCAGCUUGUUCGAGGCAUGCGUGCAUCAGAGCCGUUUUCCCUGUCUUGUCUUGGAUGUUUGGAUCAGCUCCACUUUCCAAAAGAUACCUAUUGGGAGUAAGAUCACAUUUACUACACCAGGAAAGAGGAAGGUAGUAAUCCUCAACAAAAAACACGUACUUUCACCAAUCAUGAACUUACAAAACCAUCUUGUGUUUGGGUACACUCUGGGAAUCUGUGUGACGUGUCUUGCAGGCUACCAUAAGCGGUGUCUCUCCAUGUUCGUUACUCUCAUUAAUGUAGGCCCCGCCUUCCAAGAGGAGCCGAGUCAGACGCAGACGACUCAGACACACUGCUUUUAGCAGAGAAUUGCCAUCUGUUCGAACCUCUGAUGACUCCAUUGUAAGGAUCUUUGUUAACUUCAGUUCACCUUCAGUGUUUGAUGGGAGAUCCACAGCUGAGUGCCUGCAAUAGAGGAAGAAGAAGUUAUCAUGUAUGAGGUGGGCAGCUGCUGGUGGCUCUACAUUGUGGGUCCUCAAGUCAGAGCCUCAGAUAAACUGCCGUGCACAGGUUGAUGCACAUCUGAUCCAAAAUCACAAACUUAUUCCCGAGCUUCUCUGCAUAUAUUAUGAUCAGAUUGCACACAGAAAUAUUGUCAUACUUACGAUACAUGUUAAUAUUGACUAUUUUUGUAUUUCCUAGAUGUGCACUGUAAAUACAUAAUAUGUGUGUUAUCAGUUUUGUGAGCACACUACAGUUACAAGUUCCAAAAUGGUUUUUGCAGGUAAGACUUGAAUUUUCUAAAUCAGAACAUUUUCAUGCUGCAAACUAUUUUUCUGCUUUGUCAUUGGGCAGUAUGGCCAAGUGCUACAUUUCCAUAUAAUAUUUUCUACUGAAAAAAGUCAGUUCCUCCGCCAAUUUUCGGAAUAUUCUAACCAUCUGCUCUGUUGUUUUGCUGUCAUAACUGUCUACAGAGCAAAGAGAGAACAGGACCAACAGCCAAACUGUCUCAUACAAUACAUGUGGCUUUAUUGAUCUGGACAAUAAGAGCUCGUCUGAUGUGCUCUCUUUGCUCUUCUCUGUUACUCUGUCGCUGCAGGUGAGGCCCUUAUAUAAACGGCAUCACCUACACAGCCCAUAGAAAUUAUAAUAUAUUGUAGGGGACAGGUGAUGUUACAGAAUUCACCAAAGACAGUUAACACUAAUGUGGUUUGCACACUUACAUACCUGGUAGGGAGCUGUGGGGUUACCAAGGUAACAGGUGCACUGGGUGUGGUUAAAAGCAGAUGUUUUGGUGGCGCCCGGAAGUUCUCUGGGAGUGAAUUGUUUGGUCAAAAUAAACGCACGCCGAGAGGCGCACAAAACAAUAA